ACUUACAAGCAAGGUUCUAGAAGCAGGACGGUGGAAUUCUGGGAUGAAGAAGAAGAAUUUGCUACCUGUUUUGGAAGAACUAGCAGAGUGAGGGCACUGUGUCCUGUUUUACAGAUACUUGCUCAGCCACAUUCAUCACUGCUCUGUUCAUAACAGUUGGAAAUUGGAAACAACCUAAAUGCUUUCUCUCUCUGAUUUGUGGAUUCUAGAUCUGAAUCUUAAGAGGUGAGUGUAGAACCUGAAGUUAACACAGAAACCAUGAAGGUUAAAGGAGAGAAUGGGGAAGGGGUAAAAUGAGCUAUAAAGCAAGGUGAAGAGAACGAAUUGGGCAAUUAGAAAACUGAAGAGGCUUUAUCUAGCAGGAGGGAGGGCAAUCCAGAUGAAAAGGGAGGGAAGGGGGAUAAAGAGAACUAAAAGUCAUUGAAAAAGCCACAGCCAUUACAGAAACAUUAUUUUAGGUUUGCUUAAAAUAAAUAUGUAAUAUAAUUAAUAUAUGUAAAUGAAAAUGUAAUGAAGUUACAGCAAGUGUAGUGACAAUGCUCCCUCCAAUCCAGACUGCUUAACAAAAAUCUCUGGUGUCAGAUAUUGGGACACUUCCCUUCAAGUUGUUGCUCAGGGGAGUUCAAGGGACUCCCCAAACAAUAAAAAGAUGUGGAAGGUUAUAACUUGAAGACAAAAUUAGAAGCAGACCAGCUUGAAGGGGGUAGAUGAUACAACACUGACAGUUGCAGAAUGAAUAAUGCCCUCUAGAACAAUUUGAUAUGGAGUAUAAAGGAGAAUUAGGGUCCUAGUGUGAACCACAGGCUUUCCAGCAAAACUGGGAGGAGGGUGCUGUUACUGACUUAGAAGACACAGGAGGAAAGCUGAGUGCCAUUUGAGGAGCUUAGUUGGAAUAUCUUUUUUUUGUUUGUUUUUUUGUUUUUUUGAGACAGGGUUUGUCUGUACAGCCCUGUCUGUCCUGGAACUCACUUUGUAGACCAGGCUG
ensembl:processed_transcript 5530601H04Rik RIKEN cDNA 5530601H04 gene